UGUAGACAUACUUAUCUAACAUAAUUCAUUGUUGCACUGCAGUUAUUUGAAAGAUGCACAACGUAAACGUGCAGGGAACAAAGCCUGUGAGUUCUCUUUCAGAGUCGUACGUGUCUCUUCGAUUUUCUUAAUCAUGUCCACUUGUUUAUUCAUGUUUUCUUCGUCUUAUCGUCUUUAUUUCAUGAUAUCAGAAGAAAAAAAACAGAAGAGAAGACAACCAUCAACAUGAGCUCAUCAGAGACAUCAACAAAUCCAGCCGGACCUCGUGGGGAGGGUGAGGAGAGUCUCACCGGGGGG
ensembl:lncRNA